GGUGCUUACUGCUCUCAGGGUAGCUGUGAGGAUGGUAAACCGGUGACGUGCACUUCAUUUAUGCUGUAGGUCACCCGUUUUACUAUCCGCCAGCACCCAGACCGUCUGUGGGAUGAUACC
rnacentral:pre_miRNA from 1 species